rnacentral:lncRNA from 1 species
AUUCCUAGGAAGAAUUUCUGGAAGGCUUUUUAUGCCUAGGUGCCUCUUCUCCAGUAAUUUACCCUGCAAAUUCCUGCUGACUCACUCUCUUGGAAUUCCAAUCUCUCUCCUCAAAUCAGUGGGAGACUACCAUGCUCUGUUUGAACUCUCCUUCCUGUUUCGUUGUCCAGAAAGUGUCUCCGGGAAGAAAACUGGAGCAAUUAGAUGGGGCCUCCCUAUGUUGCCCAGGGUGGUCUUGAACACUUGGACUCCAGUGAUCCUUCUGCCUUGGCCUCCAAAAGUGCUGGAAUUACAGGCAUGAGCCACUGCGCCCAGCCUCCCUCAAUAUUUUGUUUAACAACUUCAUAGAUUCAAUUGUAUGGAUGUACUCUAAUUUAUUUAGUUAGUCCUCACUGAUGAAUUGUUUGUUUUGGAUUGUUUUUUAAUACAAAUAAUGCUGCAAUAAAUAACUGUG